UACGGAGGGUGCGAGCGUUGUCCGGAAUCACUGGGCGUAAAGGGCGCGUAGGCGGCGAGGAUAGUCAACGGUGAAAGCUUGGGGCUCAACCCCGAGUCGGCCGUCGAUACUUCCUUGCUUGAGCACUGUAGAGGCAGAUGGAAUUCCGGGUGUAGCGGUGGAAUGCGUAGAGAUCCGGAAGAACACCGGUGGCGAAGGCGGUCUGCUGGGCAGUAGCUGACGCUGAUGCGCGACAGCGUGGGGAGCAAACAGG
rnacentral:rRNA from 1 species